rfam:Beta vulgaris subsp. vulgaris chromosome 9, whole genome shotgun sequence.
GGAUGCGAUCAUACCAGCACUAAUGCAAUGGAUCCCAUCGUAAUUCUGCAAUUAAGCAUGCAUGGUCGAGAAUUGGACUAGGAUGGAUGAAAUCCUAGGCAGUACUCGUGUUGCACCCC